rnacentral:rRNA from 1 species
UACGGAGGGUGCAAGCGUUAUCCGGAUUCACUGGGUUUAAAGGGUGCGUAGGUGGGCUAGUAAGUCCGUGGUGAAAUCCCCGAGCUUAACUCGGGAACUGCCGUGGAUACUAUUAGUCUUGAAUAUCGUGGAGGUAAGCGGAAUAUGUCAUGUAGCGGUGAAAUGCUUAGAUAUGACAUAGAACACCGAUAGCGGAGGCAGCUUACUACGCGAUCAUUGACACUGAGGCACGAAAGCGUGGGGAUCAAACAGG